UGCCGUUUAUUCAUUCUCGUUUCGAACGUCAUCGGGUUUACAUGGCGGAAUAGAACAUUGGGUUUUCAGAGUGCAGUGCCAGCAGCCGUAAGGGAAUGCUCGUAUAUGCCUCUGCAAUUAACACUAAAACUACCAGAGGGGUCAAAUGACCCAUGCCUGAUGUCUUCUUUUCGCAAUUAUUAGAAAGCGGAGACUGUACGAAUGUAAUUACCACAAGUAAUUACGCACGGUUCGAACGUAUCAUCAAACUUUACGACGCGAUGCCCGUUCGUAACGUCGUGCGGACGUUUUACUCCGCUUGGAAUUACACACGUCUGACUCCUAUUCGGAAUUUUGGGGAUGGCGAUGACGACGACGCCGACUUCGAAGGCACGACGCAUUCGGUCCGCGUGCCCCGCUCCGGGGAUAUUGAAGAUUCCUCGAAUGCCGCGACGGUGAGGGUCAAUAUCGAGGGUAUGCGGUGUCAGAGUUGCGUGAAGAACAUCGAGGGAACGGUGGCCGGCCGACCCGAGGUCCUCGCCGUGAAAGUCCUGCUGGAGGAGAAGACCGCCUACAUCGACUACAAGCCAGACGAGAUUACUCCCGCCGAACUGCUCGAAGCCAUAGAGGACAUGGGGUUCGUCGCGUCGCUAUCGAAAGACCAGGCUGACCCUUCGAAGGAGGCCGACCUGCGAGCCGACCAGCUGGAACCGUCGGUCAGCGCUUGCAGCAUACACGUCGACGGCAUGACUUGCAUGUCCUGCGUGAAGACCAUUACGGGUGUUUUAUCGGAGAAGCCAGGGAUAAGCGAGGUGAACGUUAGUCUAGAAGACAAGGAAGCGAAGGUAGUCUACAACGGGAACGAUCUAACGGCGGAGCAAAUAGCUGAAUCCAUAGAAGACAUGGGCUUCAACGCGUUCGUGAAGGAAGUAAACGGCAGGGUCCUUGAAACCAAGCUGGACACGCCGUCGAAGAACAAUAAUGUAGCGAACGGAGAGGUCGCGCCGCAAAUGAACGGCGCUGGAGACGUGAAAAUAGAGUCCCAAGUAGCCAAAUGUUACCUGCAUAUCACGGGAAUGACCUGCGCUUCCUGUGUUGCUGCCAUAGAGAAACAUUGUAAAAAGUUGUACGGCGUGAACAGCAUCUUGGUGGCACUGAUGGCCGCCAAGGCGGAGAUCACGUAUGACCCGGAUAAAAUAAGGGCGGUCGACAUCGCCUCCAGCAUAUCCGAGUUGGGCUUCCCCACCACGCUGAUCGAGGAGCCGGGGAGCGGGGAGGGAGAGAUAGAACUGAAAAUCGCAGGGAUGACGUGCGCGUCGUGCGUCAAUAAAAUAGAAUCGACCGUGAAGAAGCUGGCUGGCGUUCAUUCGGCCGCGGUCGCGUUGGCCACUCAGCGAGGCAAAUUCAAGUUCGACGUGGAGAGAAUUGGCCUCAGGGACAUCGUCGAAUGCAUCAACCAGUUAGGCUUCACCGCGACGGUAAUUAGCAAUAAAGACAAGGAGAACCGAGACUAUUUGGAUCAGAGAGAAGAGAUAAAGAAAUGGCGAACGGCAUUCUUGGUGUCUCUGAUAUUCGGCAUACCGUGCAUGCUGGCCAUGACGUACUUCAUGGUGGUUAUGUCCGUUGGCGAGAAGUCGCACGAGGACAUGUGCUGCGUGGUACCUGGUCUCUCCUGGGAGAACUUACUACUUUUUAUAUUUUCUACACCGGUGCAGUUCUUUGGCGGUUGGCACUUUUACGUCCAAGCGUACAAAGCUCUGAAACAUGGCUCGACAAACAUGGACGUCCUGAUUUCGAUGACCACCACGAUAUCUUACUUGUACUCGGUGGCGGUGCUCGCUGCGGCCAUGAUAAUGCAAGCGCACGUUAGUCCUUUAACGUUUUUCGACACUCCGCCGAUGUUGCUGGUCUUCAUCAGUUUAGGAAGAUGGCUGGAGCACGUUGCAAAGGGCAAGACCUCAGAAGCAUUGUCAAAGUUAUUGUCCCUGAAAGCAACGGACGCAGUCUUAGUCACUUUAGGUCCCAACAAUGAAAUACUGUCCGAACGAUUGAUCAAUAUAGAUCUGGUGCAGCGUGGGGACGUGUUAAAAGUAUUUCAAGGUGCUAAGGUACCGGUGGAUGGUAGGGUGCUCUCGGGACAUUCGACGUGCGACGAGAGUCUGAUCACCGGAGAAAGUAUGCCGGUACCGAAAAAGAAGGGCUCGGUGGUGAUCGGUGGCUCGAUCAAUCAGAACGGUCCGUUAUUGAUCACCGCGACGCAUACGGGCGAGCACACGACGCUCGCACAAAUCGUUCGUUUAGUCGAAGAAGCGCAAACGAAUAAAGCGCCUAUUCAGCACUUAGCCGAUAAGAUUGCAGGAUACUUCAUUCCCAUGGUGAUCGUUGUGUCCAUAGUGACUUUAAUUAUUUGGAUAAUAGUAGGGCAUGUAAAUAUAGACAAAUUGCCGAUUUCGCACAACGAUCAGAUCAAUAAACACGGCAUGAACAGAGAAGAGAUUAUAUUUCAGUACGCUUUCCGGAGCGCCCUGUCCGUGUUAGCGAUCGCCUGUCCAUGCGCGUUAGGUCUGGCCACACCGACCGCCGUUAUGGUCGGUACCGGAGUCGGAGCGCUGAACGGGAUUUUGAUCAAAGGUGCCGAACCCUUGGAAAAUGCGCACAAAGUCAAGUGCAUCGUGUUUGACAAAACGGGCACGAUAACGCACGGAGUGCCAAUGGUGACAAAAAUAGGUCUGUUUGUAGAUGAGAAAGUCUGUUCUUUAGCGAAAUUUUUAGUCAUCAUUUGCACGGCGGAGACUAACAGCGAGCACCCAAUCGCAUCUGCAAUCGUCCGUUACGUGAAAGGGACUGUCGGUUCCGAGUCAACCGGAAAGUGUUCGAAUUUCCAAGCGGUCGCUGGGUGCGGUCUCAAGUGCAAAGUGUCCCACAUAGAAAGCACUUUGGCCGAGGCUAUGAAGUCCGAGAAAAUCAUUAACUAUACGAAUCAUGCUAAGAAGUUGUCUUCCGGAACGUACAAUUUGAACGACGUGUCGAUUGACGCCGUGACAAUCGCCAGCGCCAGUCAAGAAAGGCAAAAUCUGAACUUGGAACUAUUGCUGAGUCCUGACUCCCACGGUGAUAAAGUCAACACCGAAGAUGCGUAUGAGAUAUGCAUUGGCAAUAGAGAGUGGAUGCGACGGAACGCUGUAAAUAUACCUCCAGAGGUAGACAUGCGAAUGACCGGCGAGGAAGACUUGGGUCACACGGCAGUUUUAGCUGCAGUGAAUAAUGUCUUAGUAGCAAUGAUCAGCGUGGCUGACACGGUCAAGCCGGAAGCACAUUUAGCAAUUUAUACACUGAAGAAAAUGGGUUUAGAAGUGAUACUUUUAACAGGGGAUAACAGGAAGACUGCUGCUUCUAUCGCUAGACAGGUUGGUAUCACCAGGGUAUUCGCGGAAGUGUUACCUUCGCACAAGGUUGCAAAAAUUCAACGACUGCAAGACCAAGGCUGGAGAGUCGCCAUGGUAGGGGAUGGCGUCAACGAUAGUCCUGCUCUUGCGCAAUCGGAUGUUGGUAUCGCGAUAGCUUCCGGUACAGACGUUGCCGUAGAAGCUGCUGAUGUAGUUCUCAUGCGAAACGAUCUUCUGGAUGUCAUUGCAUGCCUGGAUCUGUCGAGGAAAACGGUUCGUCGAAUAAGGCUGAAUUUCCUUUUCGCCAGUAUUUACAAUUUAUUAGGUAUCCCUAUAGCGGCUGGAAUAUUUAGUUCUUUUGGAUUCUUUUUACAACCCUGGAUGUCUUCAGCGGCCAUGGCUUUAAGUUCCGUGUCUGUAGUUGGAAGUUCUUUACUGUUAAAAUUGUAUCGUAAACCAACAAAAGCUAGUUUAGAAACCGCCGAAUAUUUAACAGCGGUACGCGCCCACACCACGGCAAGAAUGAUAGAUCUGGACGCGAUAUCACUUCACCGUGGUUUGGACGAUUCAGUAAUGCCGAUUAUGCAUAGAUCUACCUCGACGUUGUCCAGGUAUGCACAUACGACUACUAUGCUUUCAAAGUACGUGCGAAACUGUAAUAAUCCCACUGCUUGACGGAGUUACAGUAAAAUGAUUGUAACACCAAAGAACGUUGUUAUCUCUUUAAUUGUAACUAUAUAAUAAUAAGGUGUCGGCUUUCUUUGACCUUUCACGCUUGUUUUUUUUUCUUUAUUUGCAUUUUUAAUACUGUAGUGUACUAACAAAGGCCGGUAUAAAGUCGUUAAAGUCGCUAAUCAAAAAUUGUAUAUAAAAGUACUAACUUAAUUGUAAUGUAAUUAACAAUUUAAAGAGCAUAUUUCUAUGACUAUAAAAAAUUAGAAUGUCUCGCGGGCAAAUAAAACAGGCUGUGAACUUAAAAUUACUCUGCACAAGUAAUAUUCGUAAUGUAAUAUAAAUAUACUAAAUAACAAGACUGAAUAAAAAAAAUUGAAUCAGAGAGAGAAUAUGUUAAAAUGUAGUACAACUGUUUAAGAAUUGUAAGUAAUUUGCAGGAAAGAUUUAUGCAAUAGUGUUUUGAAUCUUAACAAAUUGUAAAUAUUGUACUAAAUGUAAAUAGGUACUGUGAUAUUAAAGAAAAGACGGGUACUCUUAUUAGUAUUGUACAACUGUUUCAAUUAUUGUAUGAAGAGAUUUUGUAAAUAAAUACUGACAAUUUUUUAAUGGAUACAUUCUGCGCUAGACGUACUACCUCAUCCUCGAAGAAAGCUUUCCCUGAUUAUUGGUUUGUAUACUCUUUUGCAUGUUUAUGCAAUAUUUAUUUUCGUUCACAUAUAUGUGUUGAUUUGACAUUUUUUUUCAAACUUCAUAAUGCUACAGCAAUAGUUAUGAAGAUGCAGUUUAUAUAUUUCUCAACAUAUUGUAAAAAAAGUUCUCCUUGUUUACAGUAUUUUCUUUAUUUUCUUUAUUUUAACAGUGUAUUUGCUUUAAUUUGCUUCCAGUAGCUUCAAGUAGUAUUGAUGUGUAAAGUGGGCUGUAACUAAUUCAGCUAUUAAUUUCGUAGCUAAUACAAUCUAGAAAAAUAUAUUACUUCUAAUAACAACUUUUGUGUUAAACAAGGUUAUUCAGAAGAUCAAAAGACGACAUUGAGGGUCGACUUCUCGGUGAGGAUAUAGACGAAAUUGAUUUAGUAUCGGAUUUUUCCGGUUAUCGCAAAACCGUAAAGGACCAUACAAACAUAACUCCUUUAUAAUUUGUAAGAAUAUAUUUUUUUUUAUUUUUAACUUAUACAGACGUACAUUCUUCGCUAAUAAUGCGAUGAUUUAAAUCGUAACAAAAUUAACAUGUUUAAAAACAGAAUUUUUCUAACAUUGAAGAUAAAAGAUACAGGGGUGUUAUGAAACAGAAGAAUGGUACUUGCAUACAGUAAUAAUCCAUCCCUUUCUACGUGAAUUACAUUAUUAGUAUUGUGAUAUUUAUGUUUAUAGUUAUUUAGAAAGACAUGUCUGAUAAUAUUUUCUUUUACAAUACCUUUUUUACUUAAUGCAUUUUACGCUAAGAAUGCAGUCACUAAUUUAUAAAAAUGAGAAUGCCUUGUUAUAUUUAAAUACAAAAGAAAGUAUCAUAAAUAUUGUUAUUCUGAUAAAAAGUUUAUGAGGGACCAUGGUUUGGUUCAAAUAUAUGUACAAGACUUAAAACACACUGACAGUUUACCGCAACAGAAUAUACAUUUUUAUGUUGAAAAACAUACUUUUUAUAAGUACAUAAUAGCAGAUAUUUUAUAUUUACCUAAAUUCUAGUUCAAAAUUUUAAGUAUAUUAUAUUAUGCGGUAUUUACAAGUAAAAAUUAUAGACUGACAAAUCUGUUUUCAUAAUCAUGAUCAGCUGCACUUUUUAUCUGUCAUAAAUAAUUUUACAGUUAGAAGAUAAUUUUUAUGAGAAUGUUAACUAAUAUAUUUAUAAACUAAAACAUGUAAUUGUGUACAGCACCUUUUACAUACACAUGUUCAUUUGUUUUGUAUUAAAAAUGUAUAUUAAAAUAUUUUUAAAGUUUGCUAAAAGAAAAGAUUAAAUUUAUGUAUAUACUUAUAUUUUUUGUGCCACAUCUUUACUAUAAAGCUGUAUAUUAAUGUAUAGUAAAUAUUUUAUACAGACAGAUAUGAUAAACUUAUUUUAAUUAAUAUUAUCAUUUUUCACCUUUUGUGAAAACCUUAAAAGAAUAAAAGCUCAAUACAAAAUACGAAUUUGAUAUAAACUCAAAUUACAAAUGUUAAAUAGUUACAAUACUAAGAUGCCUUAAAUAUAUUAAUCAACAAUACUUGUAGAAGAUGAAAGAAGUGAAUUUAUGUCGGGAAUAGAAUUAUCUGAUACAGAAGAUAAAUGUGAAGAGUUAGCAUAAAAAUUCUGUUUAAUGUGGGUACUAUUAUUAAUAGUAUCAUAAUCAUUAUUCAUCACAGGGUAUACAGUUUCAUGGACAUUUGUAUUGAAAAUAUUUUGUUCUUCUGCAUUUUUUGUACUGUAAUACCAUUCCAACUUAAUGAUUUCAGGAACAUGAAUUAAAUGUUCACUUUGACUUACUUGAUAAUUAUUAUUUCCUUCUGUUAAAGACAUACUGUUAUCCCACUUUUGUACAUGAAAAUCAGUAUACAUAUUUGGAUUCUGUGGUACAUCAAAAUGUAUUGGAGGAUAGUUUUCACUCUGCUGUGAAUUCUCAGUGAUGUCUACAAAAUUUUCAUAUUGGUAACUACGUUGUUCUUCUGGAUAAAUAUUUUCUGUAUUUGCCAUAUUUCUUGGAAAAUAAUCUCCUUGUAUAUUGGAUAUUUCAUUAAUGCAAAAGUUUGAUCUUGAUUCAUCAAUGUUUUGUGUAUUGUUGAAUAUGUUUCUGUUACCGAAUGAUUGUGUAUCACAAUCUGUAAGUGUAUGAUUAUAGUUUUUAAUGUCUAUACAACUUGAUUGAAUACAGUGGUAUUUAUCAUCACUUCUAUUGAUCGUUUUUUCUGAAUUAAUUUCUUGUUGUUCGUAUGAAUUACAUUCUAAGCUCUGCUGUGUUUGUAAACUGCAAUUUAUAUUGUUAAGUGUGUCCCAUUUGUUCUUUGAAAGGCUUUCAAAUGGAGGCAAACUUUUAUUUGGUUUAUAAUGACCAUCAUACUUGUAUUUCGUAAACAGUAUUCUUAAUUCAUCUUGUGUAAGUGUUGGGCAAUGUAAGAGUUGUUUUGAGAUUAAAUUUAAUUGUUCAAUUCGGUAAUCAUACAUUUCCACAUUCUGUUUCGAAGGCACAUUCAAAUUUUCAGAAUUUUGCUGAGAUUUCUUUGUAUCUUUUAGUUCUAAUAUUCGUUUUGUACUUUGUUUUUGGUAUUGCUGUGAUAAUUUACAUUUUUUGUUCUUUCUAAUGGACUGAAAAUAAAUAAUUUCCAUUACAUUUCUAACCACCGAAAUCGUCCACUUGUCAAGUAAUAUGUAUUUUUAUGUCUUACCAUGUUGUCAGUUGUGUCGGCAUUGUUAACAUUUUUGUUUUCAAUAGCUUGUAACGGUACUUUUGAUGGUCUCUUUCGUUUCAUCAUAUUGAUAUCUAAACUACGGAGAAAAUAA